rnacentral:misc_RNA from 1 species
AAAGUCGUAACAAGGUUUCCGUAGGUGAACCUGCGGAAGGAUCAUUAACACGUAUCCAACGUUAAAACCCCCAUAACCCGGAAAGUUGUUUUGAUUCAGAGACCUCUGGCUACGUGAGAACAUUGGAACAGUUACAAUUCGAGCGGUAGUUUCAUAGGCAUUGUUUCCCCAAGCAGUCAGUGUGCAAGGAUAACGCUUCACGAUUCCUGUAGACCGUACACUCAGGCAGGAGCUAUGCCAAAGGGUCCCCAUGCCCCCUUAUAACCCCACAGUUUAAUGUAAAGCUCAAUGUAAUAAUACAUUGGGUAAAAAAACCGAACAACUGUUAACAAUGGAUAUCUUGGUUCUC